UUAAGUGGCUGCUAUUCCCGGCCUCCCACCACACUAAUGUACUCCAGACCCGCGCUCCUUUUCUUCUGGAUUGCAGUCAAAUCGUUUCCUGCAGCCCUCGCAGUGGAAGCUCCUUCCACCCCGAACAAACAUGACUUCCGAAAUUAUUUUCAUUUGUUUUUCUAAUCUAAUUUUCCCCUCGGUGCUCCACUAAUCAUCAAUGCCAUUAAGGGCUGGAUGUGUUGACUGCUUUCCAGAGAGCCCGUCCUGCAUCCUGCCGUGCGCGACCUUCGCCGGGCUGGGCCCCCUGGGACCCCCGGAGGGGCUGCAGAAUUGGGAGCUUUGUUGGUGCUGCUGGGGAUGGAGCAUCCCCUCCAUCCCCGCCCAGCCUGAGCUCCCCAGGAAAGGAACCUGUGUCAUCCUGGAAUAAUGACUAAUGAGUGUUUACAGCCUAAAGGAGAGGUGGGGUGAGUUGGCUCCAGGCCAAAGGGAAACAGCCUCUGGUGGAAUAUCCCAGCUGAGAGAGGGUGUGAGGGCAGGGAGAGCUGUCACUGCAGAGAGGAAAACACACAGCAAGGCUCUGGGGGACUGGGAAUUUAUCCAGCAGGACUGGGAGCAUGUGGCCACCCACUGCCCCUCCUGGAAACAGGAUUGGUGCUGGUGGUGCCAAAGAUGUGCCCGGCAGGCACAGGAUGAGGGGCCAGCCUUGGGACACUGAGUGAUGAGUUUUGGGGUGAUGGGGUUGAUAUCACCCCACAGGAAUAAAUAUUCCCCCCCCAAUGAAAUGGACUCCAUGGAUCUGUUCAAAACAGUUUAUUGUAUUUUUUCUUCAGACAAACACAUUGAUUUCUGGACCACAGUAGAGGAUGGAAACCUUUCACAAACUUAUUUAUUUGAAAAUACAAAUAUAAAAUUAUACUUUCCACAUCUGUGAUGUGAGAGACCCCCAUCCACAUAGUAUUUUACAACAGGGCUUCAGAAAGCCAUACACAGAGACCUGAAAGAUGCUUGAUAUAUAUAGAUACAUAUAUAUAUGUAUAUAUAUAAAAAAAAAGUCACUACCAAAGUUCUCAUCAGUUCAUACUAAAGUAUAAAAGGAAGGGCUAGGCCUGCCACUGUGCCAUAGUUUAUUUAGGUACAUUUAUGACCACCUGAAAUGCUCACUUGCAUCCUGGUACUGACGGGAGUUCAGAGCUCGUACGACAGAGGAUGACGGGGGUGCUGCCUACGACGGUGACACCACGGCCGGGCCGGGCUGGGGGUCAGCGGGACCCCGGCCCCGCCGGGCCCUGCUCGGACACCGAGCUCUCCACACGACACGGCCGCGCUGCCGGGGGCCCACAGCCGACCACGAGGAUUAGCUUCCUCAAACUACUUAUUUAUUUAUUUUUAUUUUUAUUUUUACCCCCUCUUUUAAAAAAAUUAUUAUUAUUAUUAUUUAUUAUUAUUUUAUAAUUUUUUUGGUAAUUUUAUUACAGUAUUAAAGUAUUGCUUAGCUUACAGAAUCUCCUCACGUAGUGUUCGCACGGGGUCGACUGGAUUCUGCAGUAGGAAACUCUACAGUGUCUGUGCGCAGACCGGGAUCUGCCGCUGUGUCUUGGAGGCAUCCUGUCUCUUCUCACACUAACCUCAGCUCUCCCUCUCUCUCAGCUAUGUCGCUUUUAAAAAAACAAACCAAACCACUAAAAAAAAGAAUUCAGAAGAUUCCACCCGAGACAUCGCCCAUAGCAUAAAAGACAGCUAUGAGUUAGUGUUGGUUUUUUGUUUUUGUAAACAGUUUCAUAUGCAAUAUCAUACAGAACCAUGGCUGGCCUUCAGUAAAAAUGUAGUAAACUAUAUUGCUUUAUUAUUGAUUAUGUUGCAUUGAGUGAAUGGCAGAAACGAAACAGGAAGGGACGUGUGGCUGGAGUCGCUAGCCCUCAUUCACACUACAGAUGAAAGCAGGGAAGAAAAGAAAUCCCAACACCUUUCAGGUCGUUAUCACCCACAAUUACCCAAUGGUUUAACUAAGCCUAGCAAGAUGUGUGACAUUCACCAGCAGACGCUGCUGUACAAUGGAAAAAAAAUCAACUUACAGCAAAGAGAGCCAUGCUACCUUAAAGUCCAAGCUACAAAUUCAACUCAAAAUGAACAUUUAUGAAGUGUAAGAAAAAAUAAAAACCCCAAAGGACAGAUCAGGCUUCGCUUUCCUCAAGCCGAUCACAAAGGGCUCGGGUUAUUUGAAGGGGAGGGUCCCAAGCACUUGUGGCUCCUCGGAAAUGUCGCCGGUGUUUGGGACAUGGCCCUGCCCAGGUCACCCCGGGGCUGGGGGGAAGCAAAGGGCAGGAGGGCUGUGGGCUCUGUCCCGGAGUCUCCCUGCCAUGCAGGGGUGGCACUGGACGGUCCUUUGGGGUCCCUUCCAACCCCAACCAGUCCGUGACUCCUUCGCUCCCUGGGCUUGAGAAAAACAAAGGUGGAGCUGAACCUUUGUGCUGAAAAAUUUACAAAAAACCCCCCAAACGAACGAAGGAAAAAAAAAAAAAUCCUUCAAAAUUGAUUUCUAGAUGAGUGGGGGACUAACGUGAACCUUAGUCUAGGUAGCCACAUCAAAACAUCUUGGAUUCCACGACAUUUGUGCUAUGGGCCACUGGGACUUCUCAAAAGGUAUAUAAACAUCUAAAACAUAUUCACACAGAUUAGCAAUUUCUUCUGAGCAUUCUUAAAAAAAUAUGUUUUUUUUUUCUCUUAGUAAAAUCGUUUUAAUAUACCGUGCCUCCCUCUUUUAAAAAAUAAAUUAAAAAAAUCCAGUUUUGCAUAUCUAGCAUUAGCAUUUAAGGUAGUAUGGCACAUCCCCUUUCCAAAGUCAAGGGUGGGGAUCUACAAAUGCCUUAAGAGUUUGCCAGCAUUUUUAACAUUGUGAGACCUUUGGUUAGUUGAAACCGCAUCAGAUCAACAAAAGAAAAAUAAUAAACAAGAGAAAAAAAUAGCACAGAAAGAAAGAAGAAAAAAAACAAAAAAAGGAAAACCUUCCCAAAAUUAUUAGCAUUUUUUUUUUCUUAAAUAAGAGAAAGUUCUAUCCUUACUGGUCCUAAAUCUGAAUAACUACAUCUAAUUUUUUAACCUUAAUUACGAUACACCUACCAAUAUGUACUAGAAGAGGAAGAGAGAAGGAGGGGGGGAAAAAUUCACUACACUACCAUCAGGACAGCACUCUUACAAGAUAAGCCAUUUUAUACACUAUUAACAUACAACAAUGAUCAACAAAGAAUAUUCUAUGAGGUGACAGGGAAUGGAGAGGAAAACCAACUGGUAGUACAGUACAUCAUCAACAUUGACAAAAUAGCAAUAAAAAAUUCCCUGACGGCACACUGAAUCGCAGGGAAUUUGGUUCGUAGGUUUUUUUUUUUUACCUUUUUAUUUUUUAAAGAAUUCGGUUUUAUUUCUUUUAUUACUUGAUCAAGUCUCAAUAUUUAAAAAGCGUCCAGCAUUUUGCUUAAACCUGGUUGUUCUGAAAUAAGAAAAAAACCUAAAAUAUUACAUAAAAAGCAUGAUUUUUUUUAAAAACAAGAAAAACAAGGUUUCUCCUUUCGGUUAGCAGUAUGGUGCCUUGUUUUGUUAAAGAUGCCUUGCUCUACCUUGUCUAUUGAAUGUCUACAUUAGUCUACUUGUUAGUAAAAUUUACAAAAAUAGGAGUGCAGCAGCUCUUUUUAACAAAUGUCGCAUUCAGUGUCUUAUACUGGCUGUACCUAAAGUACCAAAUUUAUAAACGUAACAAUUUAAAAAAAUAUUAAUAAAACUUGUCAAUAUUACGUUAAAAAAAGAAGAAAUAUAUCCACACUACAGUAUGUUCUUAAUGCCACCUACCAUGUUGUACUUCUAGUUUGCUGUUGCAGGCCUAUUUACCAAUAUUAAAAAAAUUAAAUUAAAAAAUAUCCUUCAUAAGUUUCCUCCCCCAACAGAGGACCAUAUAUAUAACAGCCAAAUAUUAAACAUGUGCAAAUAGGAAACUGUCAGUUUUUCCCCUACCAGUCACAGUGCAAUGAUGUUUUAUACUUUAUUUCUUUUAAAUUCUGUUUACAACUACAAUAAAUUAAAAUCUUCCGUUGCUUCUAGGGUGAAACUUGUAGCACUGAGGUAUUCCCAAAAAAAAUAAAA